rnacentral:lncRNA from 10 species
AAAUUGCAAGCAUUCUCUUUGGGGCUUACAUGUCUACUUCCCUUAGCUGGGAUCAGCGACUUCUCUUGGGCCUUUCCUCCAGCAGGCUGGGUCCCCUCUCUGUACAGAAGUUAAAAGGAUGUUGUCAAGCACAGAAAGGUAAAGUACGUGGAGAAGCAAGAGACUGAGGUUCUUGUCUUCUCUCCACCAUUUAGUGGCCACGCAAUCUGGAUAAGUCACUUAACCUUACUGGAUAAAAAAUGCCUUCGCUACCGAAGAUGGGAACUGGACCAAAUAAUCCCUUAGGCUCACUGCAAAACAGCAAUACUUCUAUCCAGCUGCUAAAAUUUUGUACGAUGUCUCUGGGCAGGAUUAUUGUCUUUUAACAUUCCCUUCUUUUUUCAAAUAUUAUACAAUGAUAAUUUAUUGCUAGUUAAAAUUAUUUAACCAAGAAUUUGCACUAUUAGUACUUCUUUUUUUCCCCAGCUAAAGAAUUGCUGAAAUGUUGGCAUUACAAAUUUAAGAAUUUUUGCUAACAUAACUCUGCUUUCCAUAUGUUAUUUCAAAAAUGGGCUGGGCAUAGUGGCUCAUACCUGCAAUCCUGGCACUUUGGGAGUCUGAGGCAGGAGGAUCGCUUGAGCCUGGGAGGUCGAGACCAGCCUGGACAACAUAGCAAGACCCCAUCUCUACAAAAAAAAAAUCAGAUGGGCAUGUUGGCACGUGCCUGUGGUCCCAGCUACACAGGAGGCUGAAGCAGGAGGAUUGAUUGGGCCCAGGAAAUCAAGGCUGCAGUGAGCUGUAUUUGUGACACUGCACUCCAGCCUGGAUGACACAGUGAGACCCUGUCUCAAAAAAAAUUUUUUUAAUGUAGUAAAAUGUGUAGAAUUAAUGAUCUUGAUCCUAAAUCAUUAGCAACACUGUCAACUUGAAGCACUAGAACAGAAAAGAGAAGCUGUUCUCUGGUAUCACAAAGGCCACCAAAACUCUUGUUUGCGGUUAGUGCUGUGAG